CUUAAAUAUGGAAAAUCUUGUAUUUAUAAAGACAGAACACAUACUUCAUGAAUACAAAUUAAUCCCUGUAUUUAUUGACUUAAUGCAAUACAUUAAGUAUUUUUAAAAUCUACAUGGAGUCAUAUCACGGCUAGAACGUAGUAAUAGGCACACUCAAGACUUGCUGUUAUUCAUUAUCACAAAUUUGAUACAAAUUAUUUUAAACAUCAAAAUUACUUAAUCAUAGGAAAUAAGCAACUGAUAUAGGAAAUUUAAUUUUUCACCAAUCUCCCUAAACUUUAUAAAAACUCUUUGCAAUCCGACCAUUUGCACCCUUGGGCAGAAAACCGCCAGGCUCAUAUUCACUACCAGUUCCAUAAAUUAUUCUUAAAAUUUCAGGUGGAGUUCGGGCAUAGGAAAGGGAAUUGGCGUCUGCUGAUAAGACGUUAGUUUCAGUCUUUUGCUCAGCUCCAAGUUGUAGAGGUACAAUUAAACCUUCAUCUUUAAUCCCACACAUGGCAAGUUCGUUCCUUAGAUAUGAUAUACUGUUAGUGAACUCUGCCACAGUAAUAUUGUAAGGAUGCACUUUCUCAUAAGCUCUCCCAUAGAGCAGUGCUCGAAUCACUGCAUCUUGUCCGGCCUCCACGCCUAAAAGUGAUGCAGCAAGUUUUUUAGUAGGGUAGUUGGCUAGGUCUGGAAUGGUCCCAACAUAUCCCACCAGUCCCACAUAAGGAAUAACGUAGGACGCUAAGAGAUAGUUGACAGUGCUAAGGUAAGGGUUAAAUGGAGGGACUAAUUUGUAGCCAAGUGCUCUGUCAAACACUCUUGCAAAAUUUUGAGGGCUGAGAUCAUAUUGAGGCCUUGGAAAUCCACCAACCGUUGUUAUAAUAGCCCUGAAGAAAAAUCACCCGUUAGAUGAACAAAAAAAUUAAUUUUGUAACCUUCUGUGUUUCUGGAAUAAAAAAAGUUACUAAGGCGUGUAGUUUCUCUCUCACAACCUGAGAUGGCCGAUUUCUUCAUAACCAAAUUCCUCAAUGAUCUGACGAGAAACAAGAUCAAGUUUCGCCUUUUGGGCUCCAAUCGGAGGAGGACCUCCACCGGCUAAAGCAGGAGCAAGAGCAUCAAGCCCGAGACCAAGUGCACCAAACAAGAAGAAUUCUGCUUCAAAGAAUUCCAAAUUCAAAGCGAACUGAAGUCGAUCCCUGUCGUCAGCCUUUAUAGGUCCACAGUAAGCAGAAGCCAGUGCAAGGGUAGAAGCCAAAACAACAAGACAAACGAGUGCGAAGAAGAAAGAAUAACUGUUACCCAUCUCGCUAGGACACUCAACCAAUAGAGAAAACUGACUCAGCUAUAACUGGUAUAUACGUGCAUGGAGGAGCUAUAUAAUCAUCUGGUUUAUGUACAGACAGCACAUUCAUAGACCUAAGGGAAGAUAAGCAAAUUACAAGACAGAAAGAGACACGGAAAAAUCUGGCUGCUAAUAGAUGGCAUGUGCACAGCCCUUCUCUUACCCUUCUAGAUCGUGUGAGCUCAUUCGGAUUUUUGGCCCUUUAGUCACAAGAAAAAAAUAGAUAAAUAGCAUGGAGUACACUAAUGAAGCAUGCACGCCAUGCAAGGAAAUUAGUCCACGUAUUGGAUAGGUUGUUGCGGUUGGUACAAGUAACCUCUUCCCUUAUAGUCUCCAGAUGUAGUUAUGUUGCUAACGUAAGUGCUAAUUCUGAAUUUUGCUGCUUCGGAAGAAAUACAAGUUAACCAUCUAAUUAAUCUUGUUUACCCUUUUUAUUAACGAA
rnacentral:misc_RNA from 1 species